AGUUCCUUUUGAUUCUGCCUGAUGCGGGACUUAACAAGAGAAGACGUGCGAUUGGAUAAAAAUGUAUCGCACCCCCUCACUAUUUGUUCACACAAUCUGCCAAUCAAAUCACAUAUGGACAGCGGUAGGAUAUCAGUAGU